CAGUAGCCACGGUAAUACGAAGGGUGCAAGCGUUAAUCGGAAUUACUGGGCGUAAAGCGCACGCAGGCGGUUUGUUAAGUCAGAUGUGAAAUCCCCGAGCUUAAUUUGGGAACUGCAUUUGAAACUGGCAAGCUAGAGUCUUGUAGAGGGGGGUAGAAUUCCAGGUGUAGCGGUGAAAUGCGUAGAGAUCUGGAGGAAUACCGGUGGCGAAGGCGGCCCCCUGGACAAAGACUGACGCUCAGGUGCGAAAGCGUGGGGAGCAAACAGGAUUAGAUACCCCAGUAGUCCCUGUCUCUUAUAC
rnacentral:rRNA from 1 species